AACGUAGGACGCAAGCGUUAUCCGGAAUUACUGGGCGUAAAGCGCGUGUAGGCGGAUCAUUAAGUCACUGGUGAAAGCACCGGGCUAAACUCGGUGAGGUUCGGUGAGGCUGGUGGUCUGGAGUAUGUCAGAGGGGUGCGGAAUUCCGGGUGUAGUGGUGAAAUGCGUAGAGAUCCGGAGGAACACCAGAGGCGAAGGCGGCACCCUGGGACAAAACUGACGCUGAGACGCGAAAGCAUGGGUAGCGAACGGG
rnacentral:rRNA from 1 species